rnacentral:rRNA from 1 species
GGGAGGCAGCAGUGGGGAAUAUUGCACAAUGGGCGAAAGCCUGAUGCAGCGACGCCGCGUGGGGGAUGACGGCCUUCGGGUUGUAAACCCCUUUCAGUAGGGAAGAAGCGAGAGUGACGGUACCUGCAGAAGAAGCGCCGGCUAAAUACGUGCCAGCAGCCGCGGUAAUACGUAGGGCGCAAGCGUUGUCCGGAAUUAUUGGGCGUAAAGAGCUUGUAGGUGGCUUGUCGCGUCUGCCGUGAAAACCCGAGGCUCAACCUCGGGCGUGCGGUGGGUACGGGCAGGCUAGAGUGUGGUAGGGGAGACUGGAACUCCUGGUGUAGCGGUGAAAUGCGCAGAUAUCAGGAAGAACACCGAUGGCGAAGGCAGGUCUCUGGGCCAUUACUGACACUGAGAAGCGAAAGCAUGGGUAGCGAACACGAUUAGAUACCCUGGUAGU